GACAGAGGGGGCAAGCGUUGCUCGGAAUCACUGGGCGUAAAGGGCGCGUAGGCGGGAUGGCAAGUCGGUCGUGAAAUCCUUCGGCUCAACCGAAGAACGUCGGCCGAUACUGCCGUUCUGAGGGAUGCAGAGGAGAUUGGAAUUCCCGGUGUAGCGGUGAAAUGUGUAGAGAUCGGGAGGAACACCGGUGGCGAAGGCGGGUCUGCUGGGCAUCUCCUGACGCUGAGGCGCGAAAGCGUGGGGAGCAAACGGGGAUU
rnacentral:rRNA from 1 species